GAUGAAGAACGUAGCGAAAUGCGAUACUUGGUGUGAAUUGCAGAAUCCCGUGAACCAUCGAGUCUUUGAACGCAAGUUGCGCCCGAAGCCACUAGGCCGAGGGCACGCCUGCCUGGGCGUCACACGCCGUUGCCCCCCCAUCUACUCCUUCGGGAUUGCGGGGGGGCGGAUGAUGGCCUCCCGUGCGCCUAGCCGCGCGGUUGGCAUAAAUACCAAGUCCUCGGCGACGCACGCCACGACAAUCGGUGGUUGCGAAACCUCGGUUGCCCUCGUGUGCGUUCGUCGCGCAUCGAGGGCUCGAAAAAAUGCUCGGCUCCGGCUGGGCUUUCAACGCGACCCCAGGUCAGGCGGGGUUACCCGCUGAAUUUAAGCAUAUCAAUAAGCGGAGGA
rnacentral:misc_RNA from 1 species